CUACGGGUGGCUGCAGUGGGGAAUAUUGGACAAUGGGGGCAACCCUGAUCCAGCCAUGCCGCGUGUGUGAAGAAGGCCUUUUGGUUGUAAAGCACUUUAAGCAGUGAAGAAGACCUAACGGUUAAUACCCGUUAGCGAUGACAUUAGCUGCAGAAUAAGCACCGGCUAACUCUGUGCCAGCAGCCGCGGUAAUACAGAGGGUGCAAGCGUUAAUCGGAAUUACUGGGCGUAAAGCGAGCGUAGGUGGCUUGAUAAGUCAGAUGUGAAAUCCCCGGGCUUAACCUGGGAACUGCAUCUGAUACUGUUAAGCUAGAGUAGGUGAGAGGGAAGUAGAAUUCCAGGUGUAGCGGUGAAAUGCGUAGAGAUCUGGAGGAAUACCGAUGGCGAAGGCAGCUUCCUGGCAUCAUACUGACACUGAGGCUCGAAAGCGUGGGUAGCAAACAGGAUUAGAUACCCUAGUAGUC
rnacentral:rRNA from 1 species